GAUCAGUCACAUUAGUUGUGCAGAUUGUUUUUAAUGCAGUGACUAUGACUAUUAGUUCAGUUUGUUCAUUUUUAGACAAAUAGAAAGUAUUCUAGUUGGUGUGGAAGGGUUGAUUCAGAGAUGUUGCUUAACUCAAGGUGAUGAAGCAAUUCAUGCAGACUGAACAGUUGGACAUGACUUUGACCCUGUUAUAAACUGCAUUAAAAUAGACACAUGAAAUAAAAGUGGUAAUAGUGUAUAUAUGUUGAGCAUUAGACUCCAUUUUAAACAUGCACAUGUGAGAUAAAGCAAAACAAAACAGCAAUAUUAUCUUAUACAAAAUAAUGUACACUUUAUGUCCCUGAUUACGAUCGCCUUUAAAAAAAAAUCAGAUUUUUAAUUGGCUGUAAUGUUAAUUUCUAAACUGAUAUCUAUUUUUUAUUCUGUUCAUUGGAUAAUAAUUUUUUUAUUUAUAUGCUACACUUUUUCCUGAUCGCAAAUAUUUAAAAAAAUAUCUGAUUUCACAAAAAUGUAGAGUAUUUACACACAUGUUGAUGUUUUAAAGCUUUUAUUUCUAUUAUUAUAACAAUAACUUACAGAUAAUGAAUAUUUACUUUUCAGAAGAUAGACUAUUGCAUUAUAAGAAUAUUUAUCUACCAUGUUCAUGCAUUCCUUUAGCUUUUCAUUUGCUAAUCAAUUGAAAAGUAUUACAACUCAUAAUUUCAGUAAUAAAUCAGUUACUAAGUUGUUUUAUUUUUCAUUUUCAACAAAAACAGGAAUUACAUUCCCAGUAAUUACAUUUAAUGAAAUUAUGACAUGGAGUAAUGCCAACCAGACUGAUGGAAAAUCCAUUCCAGUUGCAAAUCUGGAGCAGGAGCUAUUAAUUUAUCAUCCUGGUAACAAAAGUUUCCAGAGGAUUAGAGGGCAAUUCACUGGCCUCCUCCUCUUCGACAGCUGAGGGGACAUACCAGCUCCUGAUGCCGGCCUGUCCCACCGCAGUUAUCUGGUUGGAACUGAAGUUAUCUGGUUGGAACUGAAGUUAUCUGGUUGGAAGAAAAAUGCGUCCUUUGCCUUGCAGACACCUCAGACUUCUACAGAAGCAUAUUUGUAAUAACUGGCAUAGCUGUUACUAUAGUAACUCCUCCAAGGCUUCGUCCAGAACAUUAGAUCCGACCCAUUAAUCAUCUCUGCCGUUUCUCUUUCAUUUACAUUGUAUUUAUUUUCAAACAGAAACAGAACCGACUGAAAAGCAGCUUUUAUGAUUCAUGUUUUUGUUGUUUUGUUCUCACUAAGUUUAAGUAAUCUGACAGUCAAGCCUUCACAAAACAUUCCUGUAAUUCAGUCAUUUGCAUUUCGCCUCACGUCUUUUAGGCUUACCUGCUUUAGGUUUGUGUUGAAAUGUACAUUUUUAUUGGACCAGGUGAAUCGCUCUCUGAAUGUGGUCGAUGCCCAACAUCUUUAUGAGUCCUUUGUUUAUUCUCUGAACCGGUCAAAUAAGCUUUAAUUUGAAUUUAUUGUAGAGGUAUGAAAACUUACAUUACAGGGUGUUGUAAUCUACGCAUGGAAGUUGCUUUUCCAUGAGUUAAACAUUCAUUCAUUCCUUUAUCAAAAUGUUAAAAUUUACAAGAUUUGUUAAUUGUAAUUUGUAAGUUAAUUUACAAAUUAGUUUUGCUUAUUUUCAGCAUGAAGUUGGAUAUAUUUUUUUAUAUUUUGCAUAAUUUUUUAGCAAUGUUUUGAAAGUCUACAUAUUUUUUUAAGAGCCAUCUUGACAGGAAAGAUUUGCCUUAAUUCAAGAUACUAAAAAUAUAUAAUUAAUCCAUUGUGCUUCUCUCACCUGGAAGAAAAUCAAAAUGUUAAGCACAUGGUCAGAUUAUUUACAAACAUGGUUAUGUGUUUUAACUGUUUUAUUUCUAAUUAAUUUAAUGAAUUUCCACGAUUAAUUCCUGAAAUCCAAAAUUCAGUUCUUCACUUUAUUUGAAUGUUUUAAAAAAGAAAUGCAGGUUUGUUGUAAAAUAUGUUAAUGUUCUGAAAAGUAUGAUGUUUAUAAGAUGACAUUCCUCACAUAAAAUGUUGAUUUAUGUUCAUUUUAAAUGUUCUUAUGAAGUCGGGUUUUCAUUAGUUUUAAUCCACAGAGAAAUACUCGAUGUUUCAGCUGAGUAGCUCACUCUUCCCUGGCAGUGAGCUGAUCAUUUUAAACAUUAUAUUAGAUUAAAAGCCCUUCACUUCCUGUUUUCCUCCACUUAAUUCAACUGACAGCAGGGCAAUAUGCUCUCGUAGUUUCACAAUUUGAACUGAAAAUAUGUAAAAUAUCAGCUCAAAAUCAAAAAGCAUUAGAGAAACCUACAGGAAGAAAAUCUGAAAAAUAUGACUUAAAAAGAUUAAAAGGUGAAAAAGCAUCACUGGAGAAAAGUUUUUAAAGAGUUGUUUGAGUAUUUUUCACAUUAGAUUUUGAAUUUGUCUUCUUCAAUCUUGUUCUUUUUCUUUUUUAUUUUGAAUUCCUGUACAGAAAUGUCGUCUCGGACAAAACAUUUGUAUUUUAUUUACCAAAAACAAGAAAGAGCAUGAAGAAGAAUCCUGACAGGGACUUAAAGUUUUAUCAUAGUAUUUUAUAAGACUGCUGUGAUAAGUAUUUAUUAAUUCUUCUCUAGGUGACUGAAUGUGCUUCUUUACUCCAGUCACAUAAAGAAGUGUGAAUCACUGAACUGCUCACAGGAAAUGUAUUUCAUCAUAUUUUUCAAAUUCAUUGAUAUUUAUUGAAAUGAAAAAGCAAUGUAGUAAAAUUAACAAUCCCAACAGUACGGACAGCUUUGUCAAACAAUCAAACUUUUUCACGUUAAAUAACAAACGACACAAUAAAUACUCAUCCUUAAUUCAUCAUAAACGAUGUUUAUCCGUCUACACAUCUUGAGGGUGUUGUGUUUUUUUUUUCACCCGUUUUUCCUUGCAGCUUUUGUCCAAACGGCCAGAUAAACGCUGAUGUUUGGUUUUUAAUCUAAAUCCAAGUGUUGCUCCGCGGUUCAGGUGUGUUUCUGU